rnacentral:rRNA from 1 species
GGGGAAUCUUGGACAAUGGGCGCAAGCCUGAUCCAGCCACGCCGCGUGAGUGAUGAAGGCCUUCGGGUCGUAAAGCUCUGUGGGGAGAGACGAACCGCCGGCGGUUAAUACCCGACGGCAUGACGGUACCUCCUUAGCAAGCACCGGCUAACUUCGUGCCAGCAGCCGCGGUAAGCCGAAGGGGGCUAGCGUUGUUCGGAAUUACUGGGCGUAAAGCGAGUGUAGGUGGUUUGCCAAGUCGGGUGUGAAAGCCUUGAGCUCAACUCAAGAAAUGCACUCGUUACUGGCAGACUAGAGGACCGGAGAGGAUAGUGGAAUUCCCAGUGUAGUGGUGAAAUACGUAGAGAUUGGGAAGAACACCAGUGGCGAAGGCGGCUAUCUGGACGGUUUCUGACACUAAGACUCGAAAGCGUGGGGAGCAAA